GACAGAGGUGGCAAGCGUUGUUCGGAUUUACUGGGCGUAAAGAGUGCGUAGGUGGUGAGGUAAGACCUGUGGGAAAGACCUGGGCUUAACCCAGGAAGGUCGCAAGUGACUGCCUCGCUUGAGGACGGGAGAGGAGAGCGGAAUUCCCGGUGUAGCGGUGAAAUGCGUAGAGAUCGGGAAGAAGGCCGGUGGCGAAGGCGGCUCUCUGGAACGUUCCUGACACUGAGGCACGAAAGCGUGGGGAGCAAACAG
rnacentral:rRNA from 1 species